UACGAAGGGGGCUAGCGUUGCUCGGAAUCACUGGGCGUAAAGGGUGCGUAGGCGGGUCUUUAAGUCAGGGGUGAAAUCCUGGAGCUCAACUCCAGAACUGCCUUUGAUACUGAGGAGCUUGAGUUCGGGAGAGGUGAGUGGAACUGCGAGUGUAGAGGUGAAAUUCGUAGAUAUUCGCAAGAACACCAGUGGCGAAGGCGGCUCACUGGCCCGAUACUGACGCUGAGGCACGAAAGCGUGGGGAGCAAACAGG
rnacentral:rRNA from 1 species